AGGGGUGUCGCCAAGCGGUAAGGCAGCGGAUUCUGAUUCCGCCAUUCGGGGGUUCAAAUCCUCCCACCCCUGCCA
rnacentral:tRNA from 2 species